UUGCAUCUUUUUCAUAUAUUGCAAGAAGUUUUAAGUAAAAUCAAGUAUGAAAUCACUAGCAUAUAAUCAAGGUAAUGCAACAUACGUACGUACGUAGAUACAUACAUACAUACAUACAGAGGAAUUAAUACAUCAGUUACUUUUUUUUUCCUGCUCAAUUGAUCAUACUGGGCACCGGCCGGAAGUUACAUUCUUAAAAGACAAAAAAAAGAAAAUGAAUGAUGCAUAUAAAACCAAGACCCAAUAUAUGAUAUACAUUUCACUUCACAUGGGAAUCAAGGCCCUCAUCUUCGAGACUUCUAUGCAAUUUCACCAUAUCCAACCUUGACCAAAAGAAGCGAAAAACAAAUUAAAGACACAUAUGUAUAUAUGUAUGUAUGUACGUAUGUACGUACCUAUGUAUGUAUAUACAGCAAAACAGUAGAUAUGCUCACUGAACAUUCGUGCAUAAAAUGGCAAACCUACUUUUUUUUCUCAUACAUACAUACAUACAUACAUGUAUGUGAGGGUUUACUUCAUUCAUCUGUGCUAAAGGCAAUAUGGGUAGAUGAUGUUCAAAUUUUCUUAUCUCCUUGUAGGCUACUAAAAAUAAAAUUACUAUUUUAUCCUUCACAAUAAAAAAUAAAAUAAAAUUUUAGACGUAAUAAUUAACUACAUUAAAGAAAACUCGAGUUUAAAUCCUAAAUAUUCAAAAGGAAUAGUAUGAAUUUGGAAGCAUAGCUUAGAUAUAAGAAAAAUAGUAGUCUACUUAGAAAAGAGAAUUUAUGUCAAUUGAAUCUUAACUCGAUUAGUACGAGCAUUGUUGCCGGUACAAAAAGACAUGGGUUUGAAUACACUAAAAUACAAUAUUCUUCUAUUUAAUGGUUAAGAAAAGGCUACAAAAGCUUAUAAUAAAUUGUUAAAAAAAAAAGGAAAAAAUUUAUUAUUAAUUAAUUACUAUACAUUAUUGAAAAGAGAUUGUCAUUAAUUAAUUAGUAAAGACCAUAGAUUUUUCAUUUAUGUGUAGGAACAAUUUGUCAUCAAACAUGGAAAGAACAGACAUGGUCAACACAAAAAAAGGCGUCAAAAUUAAAAACUAAGUCAAUGGCAUCUCUUUUUUCUUUCUUUUUUUUUUAUCUUUGUGUUUGUUAGCAUCUUUGACAAGUGUGUCAAAAUGAUUCAAUGCACACAGACACACACCAAAAAAAAAAAAAAAAAGCUUAAAAACUACUCCCAUUUUUUAACCCCACAAGCCAUUGCCUGAAACUAAACAACGACAACUCAUGCUGGUCGGAGGAAGUGUUUGGCUGACGGGAAUGAAGCCUGGUCCGAGAUCAUAUAGGGCUAUAUAUAUACAUAUAUCCAGAAACUUUCCCGGAAAAUUUAAAUAAAUCCAAGAAAAUUUCAUGGAAAUUAUAUAUAAAAGAUCAACCUAUAUGACCUCGAGCCAAACAACAUUCCCAUCAACCGUUUCUCCUUUUACAUAAUCUUUUUCUUCAACUUUGCCUUAAAAAUGAAAAUGUUUGAGGGGAAUGAAGCCUGGUCCAAUGAUACCUUUUACUUUGAUUACACUUUACAAUCUCAAAGCUGUCGCAUCGAGCCAGCCAACAUUCCUCUCAAAGACAACCCAUUUCCAUCAACUUGCUUGCUUUAACGAUAAACAAGCUCAGGG
rnacentral:lncRNA from 1 species